GAUGAAGAACGUAGCGAAAUGCGAUAAGUAAUGUGAAUUGCAGAAUUCAGUGAAUCAUCGAAUCUUUGAACGCACAUUGCGCCCGCCAGUAUUCUGGCGGGCAUGCCUGUCUGAGCGUCAUUUCAACCCUCAUGCCCCUAGGGCGUGGUGUUGGGGAUCGGCCAAAGCCCGCGAGGGACGGCCGGCCCCUAAAUCUAGUGGCGGACCCGUCGUGGCCUCCUCUGCGAAGUAGUGAUAUUCCGCAUCGGAGAGCGAUGAGCCCCUGCCGUUAAAUCCCCAACUUUCCAAGGUUGACCUCAGAUCAGGUAGGAAUACCCGCUGAACUUAAGCAUAUCAAUAAGCGGAGGA
rnacentral:misc_RNA from 1 species